GGUUAAGGUUAUGGUUAGGUGAAGGGGUUAGUUAAAAGGGUUAAGGUUAUGGUUAGGUGAAGGGGUUAGUUAAAAGGGUUAAGGUUAUGGUUAGGUGAAGGGGUUAGUUAAAAGGGUUAAGGUUAUGGUUAGGUGAAGGGGUUAGUUAAAAGGGUUAAGGUUAUGGUUAGGUGAAGGGGUUAGUUAAAAGGGUUAAGGUUAUGGUUAGGUGAAGGGGUUAGUUAAAAGGGUUAAGGUUAUGGUUAGGUGAAGGGGUUAGUUAAAAGGGUUAAGGUUAUGGUUAGGUGAAGGGGUUAGUUAAAAGGGUUAAGGUUAUGGUUAGGUGAAGGGGUUAGUUUAAAGGGUUAAGGUUAUGGUUAGGUGAAGGGGUUAGUUAAAAGGGUUAAGGUUAUGGUUAGGUGAAGGGGUUAGUUAAAAGGGUUAAGGUUAUGGUUAGGUGAAGGGGUUAGUUAA